AUGAACUAAUGGUGUUCCUCUUCUUUUCAUGUUUUACAGUAUGUCAAUCAUUUGGAUAACAGAAAUGAUAGCUUUGUGGCCAAGUUUGCUGAGAAUUUAAAGCAACGCAAUUGACAACUCAAGAAGUUUGCAGAUGUUCCCAUUCUGGAUGGGAGGAAGAGCUGGGCGUCACAAAUCCAGCCACAAAUGCUUCAGCAUAGCUUACGUGAACAUUUCAACUUGGCAACAGAUAACAGAUGAUGAAUUGUCUCAGCCAAAACAUCGACUGUUUCCUUUUGUCCAUAGUUGCUGCCCGGCCUGCUGAGUUCCUCCAGUGUAUGUGUUGCAUAGAUUUGCAGCAUCUUGUAUAAAGAGAUGUCCAACAUCAGACAGCAAACUACCUCCUGAUCUGUGAUUGGUGCAUAUAAGUCAUACUAUUGUUUAAUAAGGAGCUGCAAACAGCAAAGAGAAUGUCAAUGACUCAGAACUUCAUAAUUUUUUAUUUU